CUGCCAGACUCCUACGGGAGGCAGCAGUGAGGAAUAUUGGUCAAUGGUCGGGAGACUGAACCAGCCAAGCCGCGUGAGGGAUGAAGGUACAGAGUAUCGUAAACCUCUUUUGUCAGGGAACAAAGGCGGGGACGUGUCCCCGGAUGAGUGUACCUGAAGAAAAAGCAUCGGCUAACUCCAUGCCAGCAGCCGCGGUAAUACGGAGGAUGCGAGCGUUAUCCGGAUUUAUUGGGUUUAAAGGGUGCGUAGGCGGUCCGGAAAGUCAGCGGUAAAAGCCCGGGGCUCAACCCUGGCGAGCCGUUGAAACUGCAUCCCUUGAGUGCGCGAGAAGUAUGCGGAAUGCGUGGUGUAGCGGUGAAAUGCAUAGAUAUCACGCAGAACUCCGAUUGCGAAGGCAGCAUACCGGCGCGCAACUGACGCUCAUGCACGAAAGCGUGGGUAUCGAACAGGAUUAGAUACCCUCGUA
rnacentral:rRNA from 1 species